UGAGUUUGCUUUAUGCUCCUCAAUAUGAUACAUUUUUCUCUUUGCAGCUGCUGAAAAAAGAUGCCAGACUUCGCCUCGGGUCACAUGAAACAGACGCUAAAGAAGUCAUGGAAAGCUCUUUAUUCAGGGGAUUUAACUGGGACGCCCUUCUGAGCCAAGAAAUGCAGGCGCCAUUCACUCCUCAAAUAAGUGUUCCAGAGCGAGUGGAGUUAGUAAGGCUUCGCUUACCGGGCGCUGGUGUCCCAGCAGAACGACCCCACAGGACCCCAUUUGAAGAGGCAUUAGAACAGUUGAAUUGUCCUGCUCUUCUGCCUUGAAAACUGGGUUCCUGUGAAUUCUUUAGUCCAGAGAUCCCCAGCUGACUAAUAAUGACCCGAUCUUCUCGGAGGAAGAAGACGUUCAAAG